UUACCCACUCCCGGCACGGGGAGGUAGUGACGAAAAAUAACGAUACGGGACUCAUCCGAGGCCCCGUAAUCGGAAUGAGUACACUCUAAACCCUUUAACGAGGAUCAAUUGGAGGGCCAGUCUGGUGCCAGCAGCCGCGGUAAUUCCAGCUCCAAUAGCGUAUAUUAAAGUUGUUGCGGUUAAAAAGCUCGUAGUCGAAUUUGUGUCUCGCGCCGUCGGUUCAUCGUCCGCGGUGUUAACUGGCGUGUCGCGAGACGUCCUGCCGGUGGGCUUAGCUCUCACGGGCGGCCCAACUCAAUCCUGCCGCGGUGCUCUUCAUUGAGUGUCGAGGUGGGCCGGCACGUUUACUUUGAACAAAUUAGAGUGCUUAAAGCAGGCUAAAACUUCGCCUGAAUACUGUGUGCAUGGAAUAAUGGAAUAGGACCUCGGUUCUAUUUUGUUGGUUUUCGGAACCCCGAGGUAAUGAUUAAUAGGAACGGAUGGGGGCAUUCGUAUUGCGACGUUAGAGGUGAAAUUCUUGGAUCGUCGCAAGACGGACAGAAGCGAAAGCAUUUGCCAAAAACGCUUUCAUUGAUCAAGAACGAAAGUUAGAGGUUCGAAGGCGAUCAGAUACCGCCCUAGUUCUAACCAUAAACGAUGCCAGCUAGCGAUCCGUCGACGUUCCUCCGAUGACUCGACGGGCAGCUUCCGGGAAACCAAAGCUUUUGGGUUCCGGGGGAAGUAUGGUUGCAAAGCUGAAACUUAAAGGAAUUGACGGAAGGGCACCACCAGGAGUGGAGCCUGCGGCUUAAUUUGACUCAACACGGGAAACCUCACCAGGCCCGGACACCGGAAGGAUUGACAGAUUGAGAGCUCUUUCUUGAUUCGGUGGGUGGUGGUGCAUGGCCGUUCUUAGUUGGUGGAGCGAUUUGUCUGGUUAAUUCCGAUAACGAACGAGACUCUAGCCUGCUAACUAGGCGUAUUACGACAUCCUAAAGGCCCGCCGGCUCGGG
rnacentral:rRNA from 1 species